rnacentral:snRNA from 1 species
GUGCUUGUUUUGGCCGCACAUAAACUAAGAUUGAAAUAGUACAGAGAAGAUUAGCAUGGCCCCUGCAUAAGGAUGACACAAAAGCGAGUUGGGUAUGGUCAUUUG